CCCCCCCCCCCCCCCGCGGGGCAGUGGCGGCGAUUCCCGUCCGUGGGAGCAACGGUGGCCCGGCGAGCGGCGGCGCGACGUCGUCAUGGUGGCUCUGCGGCGCCUCUGCCACUACCUCCCAUUCUCCUCGCGAUGGUCGCCAUGGAGCGCGGCAGAGGCAGAACUUCCCAGCCGGUUCGUGGUGUAGCUCAAGCUGUGGUUCCCACUUCCCAGGGAGCUGGUACACGUGGAUCUCGGCGUGCGAGGAUUUGAUGCUGGACUUCUUUGUCCAGAUCAGCAGAGGGAGCAAGAAAACGGUUCAAAUCGGAGCUAGAUAUGAAAAUAUGAGAUUGAGAUGCUGUGUCAUACAGGUCUGAGCUUCUCUAUUCAUCCUGCAGGUCUUUUCUCAGACGCUCAUGAAUCCAGUUCGGAUGAAUAUCUUUAGCCUUUUUUUGUUUGUGAAAAAUCUGAUUAGCUAGCGACAUGUGCUUAUUGGAUUUCACAGUGGAGAAAAAACAGUUCCUUUACAGGUUCUUGAUCUUGCAUGUCAUAGAUGCUGCCAGCAAGGUGUCAAGCUCUGUUUCUGUUGCAGAGCCUUAAAUUCGUUUGAUUUUUCAGAUUUGUAGGAGGAAAGUUAUCUACCACUAGUGGUGCCAGUUAGCUUGUGAUAUGUUUGCUUGGAGUAUGGUUUUCUUUGCAUUCUCAUAGAUAUGGUAACCUGCUCUUAGUUUCAUAAUCCCAGCCUGUUUCAUUCGUGGGAGCCGGCGAGUAUGGUUUUCUUUUGUUAUGAAGUCCUCACUUAUUCAGAGCAACAUUUUUUAUUUUUCAUCCUUUCAGAUGGAAAAUUCAUUUGUUCGACAGUUCUGUUCUAGAAGGACCUUGCAAUCCCAACAUGAGCAAAAUGAUAUCUCCAGAGCUACCAAUUACUGUGAAAAAUAUAGUAAAUGGUCGUUUCAUAUUACUAUAUGGACAUAUUCUCUGAAUGUAUUUCCUCCAAAAUGUGCUGCUCCAUUUUACUGUAUACUACAGUGCUAUGGGAUUCAUGCAAUUAUAUGGACAUAUUGUGAACCAAAUUGUGGUAACUCCGGAUCAUAAUUAUUGUCUUCAACCA